CUUACUAAGGAGCAUCUGAGAUUUGUUCUGGUUUGGUUAAUAUUGUUGAGAUGGGUGGACACAGUAUGGAAAUUCUUCAAAUGAGGUCACAGAGUUAAAGUUUUUCUUUAAAAAAAUAUGUUGACAUGUAGGCGACUUGCCAACCAAAUAUUUAAAAAAUAAAUAAA